rnacentral:rRNA from 1 species
GAGGAAUAUUGGUCAAUGGACGGAAGUCUGAACCAGCCAAGUAGCGUGCAGGAUGACGGCCCUAUGGGUUGUAAACUGCUUUUGUAUGGGGAUAAAGUUAGGGACGUGUCCCUAUUUGCAGGUACCAUACGAAUAAGGACCGGCUAAUUCCGUGCCAGCAGCCGCGGUAAUACGGAAGGUCCAGGCGUUAUCCGGAUUUAUUGGGUUUAAAGGGAGCGUAGGCUGGAGAUUAAGUGUGUUGUGAAAUGUAGACGCUCAGCGUCUGAAUUGCAGCGCAUACUGGUUUCCUUGAGUACGCACAACGUUGGCGGAAUUCGUCGUGUAGCGGUGAAAUGCUUAGAUAUGACGAAGAACUCCGAUUGCGAAGGCAGCUGACGGGAGCGCAACUGACGCUUAAGCUCGAAGGUGCGGGUAUCAAACAGGAUUAGAUACCCUGGUAGUCCGCACAGUAAACGAUGGAUGCCCGCUGUUGGUACCUGGUAUCAGCGGCUAAGCGAAAGCAUUAAGCAUCCCACCUGGGGAGUACGCCGGCAACGGUG